rnacentral:SRP_RNA from 1 species
CCCGGGUGUGGUGGCGCACAUCUGUAGUCCCAGCUACUUGGGAGGCUGAGGCGGGAGGAUCACUUGAGCCCAGGAGUUUGAGGCUGCUGUGAGCUGUGAUUGUGCCACUACACUCCAGCCUGGGUGACAGAGUGAGACCCUGUCUCUA